AUACUGAAGGUGCCAGAAGAUCAAGGUCACGGAGCUGCUAGUAUCUUAAAUAAGUGGAUAAAAAUCUGGAGGACUUAAAUAAUCCAGGUGGUCAGAAAUGCAGUGCUGAUUAUAAUUCAAACUCAGCUUAGGAGGCAGCUUCUCUUCCUUGGAAUACCCUGUUAGACAACACAGGCUGUGUAGAGGUUGUCUAUGGCAGCCCUGUGCUGAAGAUCACGUACUAGAAACAGUUCAAGGAAAGGCAGUCUUUGAUAUUUGACCUUCAUCUGUGUCUUGGAUUGUGGUAACUUUCAAAGAAGACUUAGGCUUCUAGGAAACAUGAAACCUGAAGGAUUUCUCUGUCACAGAGCACCUCUGGCCUGUAUUGAUAUAGUUUACCUCCUGAACUUAUAGAAGACCAUCUAAACACCACAUUCUCCUUUAUGCAAUUCAGAGGCAGUUUUGGAUUACAGAAAGUCAAGUCAGUAGAGUCAGGCUUGCAGGGCCAUGUCUGGAUGAUGUCAGGGAUAGACCGUAUUCCUUCAUUGUGGAUCAGAAUGAUGAGGACAAGCGAAAGAACACUCAGAGCCUGUAUGUUUGCAGGUUGAUUCUGCACUGCAACAAUAGAAACUCUGGUUCCCAGGAGAGCAGCAAAGUGAAAUGGUUGAUUACACUUCUAAAUGUUUGACCUUGGUUUUAUAUAUAUAGUUUUCAUUUGUGCAAACAAAUGAAAGAAAUAAGCACAUAUACAUAUAUACAUGCUUGUUUAUCCACAGUAAACACCUGGAAUGGCACAGACCCACAGUGCUUUUGAGGACAAAAGGUUUGCUGCAGAAAGUUCUAAUUUUUUAUUUAAUACCAACAUGCCCUUGUAGGAAAUGU
rnacentral:lncRNA from 1 species